GUAUAAACAUAAUUUCGACGGUUGUCAUAAAAGACACAAUUAAAUAUUUUUUGCUACUAAAAUCAGUGAAACAUGACAACAAAGUGAAGGGCAAACAUCUCCUCAAGCAAGUAAAUUGCAGCAAUGGAGACUAGAGUGUCUAGGCAUUCACUAGAAGUGGGGUGAGUUUCUGGCAGGGGGGCAGUUUUUGGCACAACACCAGAUCUCUCUAUCUCUCUCUCUCACAGCCUAACCUGGACCUCCAGAUUUACAAAUUAAGCACUGACAACAGCCUUUUCCAAGUGACAUUUACAGUUGUAUAAUCACCAAGUCACUAUACACCAAAUAAAUGUUUGUGGAUCAUUUUGAUUCAUCUGUAUGUUUUAUGGGUGUUAUGACAAAAUACUGUGGUACUCAAUUGCAGAGACAGGCGGUGAGAAGGGUGUGGUUUUGGAUCGGAAGGGCACCGGGGACGCUGAAGACACCCUUCAAAUGGACAACUCCGCAGAUGAAGAGGACUUUCAUGAUGCCAAUGAUCAAUUCCUUGACUUUGGAGAAGUUGGGAACUCUCAAACAGCAUUAGUGGAUGGUCUGGUGUCCAAGUCAACGCAAUCAAAAGAUGCUGCUCCAGAAGAAAACAAUCUACAGAAUUUACUGCUGGACCUGGGAUUGGAGCAAUACUUUACAGAGAAGUUAGACUUGAGCACCGUGCUGCAGAUUGAUGAAAAGACUGUCACAGAUGAGCCUGAUCAAUGUCUUUCUGCUCUGCCAUGGACUUUCCUAAAGAGGUUAAUGAUGGUUAAUGUAACAGCUAGGAGUGUGAAAUGUACCUCGAGUGAGGCAAGUUGCGAUUCUUUAUUUUGCAACACAGACCUAGAUAUUGAUGGUCUGGUUGACAGUCAGGACACUAGUAAGUUUCUGAACCCUUUAGACAUUGUUACUGCUCUUUUUCUGUGCUCUAACAGUUUUCUACAGCAAGAAAUGGUCUUGAAAAUGUCAAUGUGUCAGUUUUCCGUGCCUCUGCUUCUUCCCAAUUGUGACACAAAAAAGUGCAUGCUCAUGCUUUGGGCCAUGCGAGACAUUGUUAAGAAGUUCCGACCGCAUUCAUUGGCAGAUCCAAGAGGAUUUGUUGAAGACAGGAUCGUUCUCUCUGAGCUCCCUAUGGUCUCUUUCGUCAGAUUAGGUGAAUGCUCUCUGUCCAAGUCAGAGGUUCUGAACAAACUCUUGAGCAAUCCCCAACAAUAUCAUGAUACCUUUGUCCACCAUAACAUGGAAUGCGGUGAUAGCCAAAGAAGGAUUUCAAAUGGAUUGGUUGAAAUAAGCUGGUACCUUCCAAGUGGGAAAAAAAAACAUUGAUAUUUUUG